GUCUAUGGCCAUGCCACCCUGAACAAGCCCGAUCCUGUCUGAUCUGAGAAGCUAAGCAGGGUCACGCCUGGUUAGUACUUGGAUGGGAGACCACCUAGGAAGACCAGGUGCUGUAGGCG
rnacentral:rRNA from 1 species